rnacentral:rRNA from 1 species
CCUACGGGCGGCUGCAGUGGGGAAUAUUGGACAAUGGGCGAAAGCCUGAUCCAGCCAUGCCGCGUGUGUGAAGAAGGCCUUCGGGUUGUAAAGCACUUUCAGUGGGGAAGAAAGCCUUGGGGCUAAUACCCUCGAGGAAGGACAUCACCCACAGAAGAAGCACCGGCUAACUCCGUGCCAGCAGCCGCGGUAAUACGGAGGGUGCGAGCGUUAAUCGGAAUUACUGGGCGUAAAGCGCGCGUAGGCGGUCUGAUAAGCCGGUUGUGAAAGCCCCGGGCUCAACCUGGGAACGGCAUCCGGAACUGUCAGGCUAGAGUGCAGGAGAGGAAGGUAGAAUUCCCGGUGUAGCGGUGAAAUGCGUAGAGAUCGGGAGGAAUACCAGUGGCGAAGGCGGCCUUCUGGACUGACACUGACGCUUAGGUGCGAAAGCGUGGGUAGCAAACAGGAUUAGAUACCCUGGUAGUC